rnacentral:rRNA from 1 species
UACGGGGGGGGCAAGCGUUGUUCGGAAUUACUGGGCGUAAAGGGCUCGUAGGCGGCCAACUAAGUCGGAUGUGAAAUCCCCAGGCUUAACCUGGGAACUGCAUCCGAUACUGGAGGGCUUGAAUCCGGGAGAGGGAUGCAGAAUUCCAGGUGUAGCGGUGAAAUGCGUAGAUAUUGGGAGGAACACCAGUGGCGAAGGCGGCUCACUGGACCGGUACUGACGCUGAUGCGCGGAAGCGUGGGGAGCAAACGGG